CAAGUCUGAAAAGUGUAUAUGGCACUUUUGGCACACGGCUCAGUAACACGUAGCCAACCUGCCCUUUAGAGGUGUUAAACCCGCGAGAGUGGGCAUAAUGCACCGUAGCUGAAAAAUACUGGAAUGUUUUUUUGGCAAUAAGCAUUUCACUCCAAGUGAUAAUGCGCUAAAGGAUGGGGCUGCGGCGGAUUAGGUCGUUGGCGGGGUAACUGCCCACCAAGCCGUUGAUCCGUACGGGUCCUGAGAGGGAUAGCCCGGAGAAGGGAACUGAGAUAAGGUCCCUAGCCCUACGGGGUGCAGCAGUCGAGAAACCUUUACAAUGCGCGAAAGCGUGAUAGGGGAAUUUCGAGUGCUAUCUUUGAUAGCUUUUGCCAAGCCUAAAUAGCUUGGUGAAUAAGUGGAGGGUAAGAUACGUGCCAGCCGCCGCGGUAAUACGUACUCCACAAGUGGUAUCCACUAAUAUUGGGCUUAAAGCGUUUGUAGCCGGUUUUGUUAGUCCUUGGUGAAAGCAAACAGCUUAACUGUUUGAAUUGCCAAGGAUACUGCAAGGCUCGAGGCUGGGAGACGUCAAUGGAACUUCUGGGGUAACGGUGAAAUGUUGUGAUCCCAGAAAGACCACCAGUAGCGAAGGCGAUUGACGAGAACAGUCCUGACGGUGAGAGACGAAAGUUGGGGGAGCGACCCGGAUUAGAUACCCGGUUAGUCCCAACUGUAAACGAUGCAGACUAGGUGUCCUAGUACCCACGUGGUACGGGGGUGCCGUCGCGAAAGCAUUUAGUCUGCCGCCUGGGAAGUACGAUCGCAAGAUUGAAACUUAAUGGAAUUGGCGGGGACGCACUACAAGGGGUGGAUGCUGCGGUUUAAUUGGAUACAACGCCAGAUAAUUCACCAGGGGCGACAGCAGAAUGAUGCACAGUCCAAAGGGCUUUGCUGACACGCUGAGAGGUGUUGUAUGGUCAUCGUCAGCUCGUACUAUAAAGCGUCCUGUCAACUCAGGCAACGGGCGAGACCCACGCUCAUAGUUGCAAUUAUCCGGUUUCGGGUGAGCACUCUAUGAGGACAGCUAGAGCAAUCUAGAGGAAGGAGUGGGCCACGGUAGAUCUGUACGGCCCGAAUCUCCUGGGCAACACGCGGCAUACAAUGGUUAAGACAAUGAGAUCCUAGCCCGAAAGGGUACGGAAAUCCCUUAAACUUAACCUUAGUUCGGAUCGAGGUCUGUAACUCGGCCUCGUGAAAUUGGAAUCCCCAGUAAUCGCGUGUCAUAAUCGCGCGGUGAAUAAGUCCCUGCGUCUUGCACACACCGCCCAUCAAGCCAGUCGAGUAGAGUUCUGAUGAGCUUUGGUCUUCUAGAUUAAAGCAAUUCUGCGCUUUGUGAGACGGGCUAAGUUGUAACAAGGUG
rnacentral:rRNA from 1 species